rnacentral:tRNA from 1 species
CAGGGGAUAGUUUAAAAAAAAUGUUAAUUUUGGGGAUUAUCGAUAAAAGGUUUUUUUCUUCUGA